rnacentral:lncRNA from 1 species
UAUAGCCCUCACCUUCUCUAUACAUAUAUACUCACCACAGUAGCUACUAUACGUACUACUAAUUAAUUAUAUAAUUAUAAGAUCAAGAAGAAUUAACAAGGGCAAUUGUCUUAUUUUAAAUAUUAAUUAAUAUAUUUGAGUCGAGAAUUAAUGGAGGUCGUUGGCAGCCACAAACGGGGUUUGAUGAAAAGCAAGUUGGUAAUGUCUUUCUAUAGAGCCGCGAAGCCGACUCCAUCAACCGUGCAGUGUGCAGCCGUCACCGCCGUGAAGCCAAUUAGGGCAGCUUCCCAGCUGGUGUCGUUCAGGCAUGACGAUGAUGAUGAUGAUCAUCAUCAUCAUCAUCAUGUCAAGUCCGAGGAUGGUUAUAUUCAUGGUCCCAACGGCGGUGGUGGAGAUGAACACGUCGACAACAGAGCUACCAGCUACAUUUUUCAGGUCAAAGAGCGCCUCAAACUUGAAGAAUCUAAUUUAAUCAUCAACGGAAAUCAUUAAUUACUUAAUUACUUGUCUUGUGCGUACCGUAUUCCAUAUAUAUAUGGAUUAUAUAUAAUCUUUUUUUUUAUAAGUAAUAUAGUUGGAAUAUUGUGUUUUGCUCUAUACUGGUGUACGUUUUGUAAUGAAAAAUGAUGUUUGCCAU